GACGAACGCUGGCGGCGUGCUUAACACAUGCAAGUCGAACGGAAAGGCCCUGCUUUUGUGGGGUGCUCGAGUGGCGAACGGGUGAGUAACACGUGAGUAACCUGCCCUUGACUUUGGGAUAACUUCAGGAAACUGGGGCUAAUACCGGAUAGGAGCUCCUGCUGCAUGGUGGGGGUUGGAAAGUUUCGGCGGUUGGGGAUGGACUCGCGGCUUAUCAGCUUGUUGGUGGGGUAGUGGCUUACCAAGGCCUUGACGGGUAGCCGGCCUGAGAGGGUGACCGGCCACAUUGGGACUGAGAUACGGCCCAGACUCCUACGGGAGGCAGCAGUGGGGAAUAUUGCACAAUGGGCGGAAGCCUGAUGCAGCAACGCCGCGUGCGGGAUGACGGCCUUCGGGUUGUAAGCCGCUUUCGCCUGUGACGAAGCGUGAGUGACGGUAAUGGGUAAAGAAGCACCGGCUAACUACGUGCCAGCAGCCGCGGUGAUACGUAGGGUGCGAGCGUUGUCCGGAUUUAUUGGGCGUAAAGGGCUCGUAGGUGGUUGAUCGCGUCGGAAGUGUAAUCUUGGGGCUUAACCCUGAGCGUGCUUUCGAUACGGGUUGACUUGAGGAAGGUAGGGGAGAAUGGAAUUCCUGGUGGAGCGGUGGAAUGCGCAGAUAUCAGGAGGAACACCAGUGGCGAAGGCGGUUCUCUGGGCCUUUCCUGACGCUGAGGAGCGAAAGCGUGGGGAGCGAACAGGCUUAGAUACCCUGGUAGUCCACGCUGUAAACGGUGGGUACUAGGUGUGGGGUCCAUUCCACGGGUUCCGUGCCGUAGCUAACGCUUUAAGUACCCCGCCUGGGGAGUACGGCCGCAAGGCUAAAACUCAAAGGAAUUGACGGGGCCCCGCACAAGCGGCGGAGCAUGCGGAUUAAUUCGAUGCAACGCGUAGAACCUUACCUGGGUUUGACAUGGAUCGGGAGUGCUCAGAGAUGGGUGUGCCUCUUUUGGGGUCGGUUCACAGGUGGUGCAUGGCUGUCGUCAGCUCGUGUCGUGAGAUGUUGGGUUAAGUCCCGCAACGAGCGCAACCCUUGUUCACUGUUGCCAGCACGUUAUGGUGGGGACUCAGUGGAGACCGCCGGGGUCAACUCGGAGGAAGGUGGGGAUGACGUCAAGUCAUCAUGCCCCUUAUGUCCAGGGCUUCACGCAUGCUACAAUGGCUGGUACAGAGAGUGGCGAGCCUGUGAGGGUGAGCGAAUCUCGGAAAGCCGGUCUCAGUUCGGAUUGGGGUCUGCAACUCGACCUCAUGAAGUCGGAGUCGCUAGUAAUCGCAGAUCAGCAACGCUGCGGUGAAUACGUCCCCGGGGCU
rnacentral:rRNA from 1 species